GGGUCUCAGAGCAGUGGAGGCAGCAGGUGGAGGAUGUGUCAGCGUCAGGCAGCCUCACGCUGCACCACUUAUCUUCAGAUCACCAGGGAACGUUCACCUGUGAACUCAGUAGUGAAGAGGAGACGCAUUUCAUCAACAGCUACGUGACGAUAGAGGAAGGUUCAGUUGCAGUAAUUGUGGUCGGAGUACUCGUGUGUGUAUUAGGAGCUGGAGCAGGAUUCUUCUACUUUAGAAGACAAAGGAGGCUACAGAGAGGAAACCUUCACAGUAAGUUUACUGUAUAUUCUGUACUGAGAGUUACAAUAUUCUGCUCUAAAGAAUAACCCUGUUGUCAUGGAGAUGCUGUAAACUACUUUAUUCUUGUCACGUUGCUCUAACAGCUUCAUCUCAGCUGCAUCAGCAGACACAUCCUAAAGCAUCAGUUUCUGAGAGUUCGUUCAAAAACCAUAUCGAUAUUAGAGUGAAAGAAAAUCUGAUACCGAUAUAUCGGCCAAUAAAUUUAUGAAAAAGAUUUGAGUGAUUCCUAAGAUGUCGUUAUCAAACCCUUACGGCAAAGAAAUGUAACUGAGACUUGAUAUUUUACAGUUUAACCAUGAACUGUAUUAUUAAUAACACAAAUACAAAGAACUUUAAUUAAAAAAUG